GACGAACGCUGGCGGCGUGCCUAAUACAUGCAAGUAGAACGCUGAAGGAGGAGCUUGCUUCUCCGGAUGAGUUGCGAACGGGUGAGUAACGCGUAGGUAACCUGCCUGGUAGCGGGGGAUAACUAUUGGAAACGAUAGCUAAUACCGCAUAACAGUAGAUGUUGCAUGACAUUUUUUUAAAAGGUGCAAUUGCAUCACUACCAGAUGGACCUGCGUUGUAUUAGCUAGUUGGUGAGGUAACGGCUCACCAAGGCGACGAUACAUAGCCGACCUGAGAGGGUGAUCGGCCACACUGGGACUGAGACACGGCCCAGACUCCUACGGGAGGCAGCAGUAGGGAAUCUUCGGCAAUGGACGGAAGUCUGACCGAGCAACGCCGCGUGAGUGAAGAAGGUUUUCGGAUCGUAAAGCUCUGUUGUAAGAGAAGAACGAGUGUGAGAGUGGAAAGUUCACACUGUGACGGUAUCUUACCAGAAAGGGACGGCUAACUACGUG
rnacentral:rRNA from 1 species